rnacentral:rRNA from 1 species
GUGUCAGCAGCCGCGGUAAUACGGAGGGUGCAAGCGUUAAUCGGAAUUACUGGGCGUAAAGGGUGCGUAGGUGGUUUGGUAAGUUAUCUGUAAAAUCCCCGGGCUCAACCUGGGCAGGUCAGAUAAUACUGCUGAACUCGAGUAUGGGAGAGGGUAGUGGAAUUUCCGGUGUAGCGGUGAAAUGCGUAGAGAUCGGAAGGAACACCAGUGGCGAAGGCGGCUACCUGGCCUAAUACUGACACUGAGGCACGAAAGCGUGGGGAGCAAACAGGAUUAGAAACCCGUGUAGUCC